AGCUCUUGUGUACGGCAUGUUGGCGAUUGGGUUUUCAUUUUGUAUUCGUUUCAUGCAGUCCGGAAUCUUACAGUUUACCGUCAGCGUUGUCGGGGUGAUCUCUGGCGGGUUCCUAGGUGUCUUUAUCUUAGCUGUAUUCGUACAUCGUUGUAAUUCAAAGGGGGCUGUUGCUGGGUUCGUAGCCAGUUUCAUUGUCAUGGUCUGGAUCAAGGUAGGAUCAAUCAUAUACCCCUCAUCAAGGGGGCAACUGCCUUUAUCGGUUGAAGGUUGUCCAGUACCCAAUGGCACAUACACGACCUACACCAUCCCAACCACAGAAUGGACUACGGCAACACUCCCAGGCUCAACCCAGGAAACCAUCUCUGAGGAAUU